ACCAGUUUAUGUCCUGUACUCCACGGCUAACGGUUGGGUUGUGCCCUGCCCCCUUCCCUGCUGUCUCAUGAGGACACAGAAGGUGCUGGCUAAGACAGCAGGAGGAACUUUACCAGAACAGCGACUUGAUCUUGACUUCCCAGUCUCCAGAACUUUUCAAUUGCCUUUUGUUUUUCCUGCAAGAAGCAUUUCUCUCAAGUGCCUGCAGGACACUGAUGAAUUCCUUUCUGAUCUGAAUUCAGUGGAACCCAGAGAAUAUGCUCAAAGAAAUAAUGUGCUUGAAUGGAAAGACAAAGCGCUUAAAAAUCCAUCGUACCUUUAUUCUCGGAGUGGCCCAUUCUAUCUUGGCGUUGACACAUUUUUCCUGAUCAGGUUGCAGCCUCUUCACCUGUAUUCAGCAUGCUUUUCGGUUAGAUUGCUCUCCCUUGUGCCCUGGACACCCGUCUGGGAAGUGCCCGAGUUCCACCUGGAGAGCUGCCAGCAAGCGUGGAGGCCGAAUUUGCUGUUGCUAGGUAACUUCCUGUCGGUCCAGGACGCAGAAGUUGAACCGAUGUGGAGUAGAGGUGGUACAUGAAGGAGAGGAGUGACCUUUGCUGGUUUCUUUCCCUUGCAACGGCUGGACGUGAUGUCUUGCCAAUGACUUUCAGUUCCAUCUCAUGACACCGGUGAUCCUCUUCAUCCAUGGAAAAAAUCAACACGCCCUUGUCCUCCUCGGGGCCACGCCGUUUUUGGCAUCUUUCACCGCCUCUGCUCUGCUCACACUGGCUUAUAACCUUCCGGUGGCAGCUCCGUCAGAAGCAAGGUAACCGCGGUUCCCAGCCCGCCCUGCUCUACCUCUCGCCUGCCCUCGGACUGUCCAGGACCUCCCAGGCAGGGCUGCCGUAUGGAUGCCAGGCUCUUUGCACUGUGCACAUCGGCUCCUGGAAAAACUGGGUGGGAACUGUUCGGCCUUGACGGGAAAGUUGAUUGCGUGUUUGUUUCCAAACUUCUGAACCUUUCAACUUGUUCUGGGGGUCUGCUCUGAAAACACAGGGAACUCACUGUUGCCCAUUGAAAUACUUCUCAGAGGAAAGGAGCGCCCCCAAGUGGCUGUACUGCGUUUCUCCUCCAGCGGCGAACUGCCGCUUGGAAUCUCUAUUAUGAAAUAGAGAGACUGAAAUUUAAGGAAGCUGGGGUUACCUCUUCAAGGUCACACGCCUAGUAAGUGAUACAGUUGUGAGUUGAACCUGGGACCUUACCCACUGUGCUAUUUCGCCUUUCCAAUGGGAGUAUAGAUAACACUUCUUCCUUAUAACCACCCUGUGUCUUCUACAGGAAAAACUGGUAAGAUUUCCUACUAAUUUAUUCUCAAGGCAGCAGUCAGAGAUGAAAAUGAAAAUCGGAUCCUGUCAGUCAUCUGCUCAAAUUCCUCCAUUGGUCUCAAGGCAGAAUCCCUGUCUGACCUCAUCUAUCACUUCCCUGAUUGCUGACACAGGACCAGCCACACUGGCCUCCUUCCUUCUGCACACCCAACAUGCGCCCUCCUCAGGGCCUUUGCACGUGCCAUUCCCUCACAGGAGAAUACUUUUCCUUUAGAAUCUAGAUCUUGGCCGGGCUAGCUCCUUCACUUCCUAUAGGUGUCUGUGCAUACAUCACCUUCUCAGAGCAACCCUCACUGACCUUCUGAUGUGAAAUAGCCCAGAACCGUAUCUGGCACAAAAGUGCUCAAAAUGUAUUGUGAGUGGAAUAGAUGAAUGAAUGAGUGACUGACUACACCCCAGGCCUUUUGACCAGGGAAGCAUCAUGCCCUUCUCAUCGUGACGUCAGCCUCUGUGGGCAUAGCCCGGUGACCGAGAAGGAGGCUCGCUCCUGUGUAGCCCAGUGGUUCUCAACUCCAGAUGCAAAUGAGAGUCACUUGGGGAGAUUUGAAAUCCCACUGAUGCUUCCAGCAAGCACCAUCCUGGACCAAUUGAGUCAGAAUCUCCGGGGCUGUGGCCCAAGCAACCGAAUUUUGUAAGUGCUUCCAUGAAGAGGUUCACUCCUUUCAGAAGAGGUUCACCUCUGGGAACCACAUUUUUAGAGCUAUCCCAGCAUACCAACCACCAGAAACAACUAUUUAAAAUGAACACAGUCAUCAUAUUUCCUUGGGAUCCAGUGUGGAGGGACCCAAGGGAAUUUGGAAUUUUAGGAAGCCAGCUGUGGCCCAAGGCAGGAUCAUGAGGUCACUGUCUGUGGAUAAUUACUGAGGAAAUGAACAAAUGUACACCCAGUUUUUCUAUGGGUUUGCUGAUUGCUCCAAUGGACAUCUGAGGGAUUCCUUUUUCCAUGUCCAGAUCAAACGUAACCUUUGGCCUUAUGUCCUUGUGUUUUUCAGUGAAAAUGCAGCUGUGUUAUUAUAUAUCUUGGAGUACUACACGAAGCCCUGUGGCCGAUUUGGGCCUUUCCUUGUGGGCCUCUUUCUGAGCAUUUUCAUGCACCGAAACCACGAGGCAAACAUUCUCAAAACCAAGGUAUAUGGUUUCUCCAUACCUCACUGUAAGGACUGGGUCUGCUUGGGACUGGAGGCGUCCAAGAUGAACACUGGUUUCUGGCUUGACUAAUGAUAUUGGAUGGUGAGUCAGAAUGAUUACCCACAGGAAAGAAAUUCCACCUGGAAGGCAAAGUAACAGCUUUCCUCCCUCUGGACACCUCACGACCUGAUUCCCAGAUGGAACUGUCCAAUCUGACCUAGAAUCUUACCUCUGGAAACCAAAGAGCUUGUGCUAUUAAAAAUCCAACCCACCUAACCAUGAACUUCCAGAAGAGGGGUUUGCCAUUGCCAUCCUACUGGGUGUGUUUUCUCAUAUCAGUGGUUUCUCUGGCUCUGUAGCAAGGCUCUGACGGGUGGGAUGCCUCCUCCUCAUUGCCCACUCCUCCCCAUGCGAUCACCCACCAAGCCCCGCGGGUUGUUUCUCCCGCCAUCCUCUCGUAGCCUUUCCAACUGACCUUGUUGAAGCUCGUCUCGUCUCUUACUUGGAUUUCUUCAGUAGUUUUCUUGCCUCUUGUCUUCUUGAUCUCAAAUCCACCCACAGGGAAAUCUAUUUAAAAUACUACCUUGGCCUUGAACUGUGCAAAACCUUUUCAUAUGACUUUUGUUGAUCCAUAAGACCUUGAGGGCAGAACAUGUCUUAUUCACCUCUGAAUUUCUAGCACCUGGUUCUGAAAUCACUCAGUAAAUGAAUGACAGAUAAUUUGCUUCUCAAUGGAAGAAAGGCCAAGAAUUCCCUUGCAUUAUUAGGGGGCAA